ACCAAGAGUUAGUAGAUAAUUUAAACCAUCUUGAAGCUUUCUUUCCCAUAGCUUGGCCGAAAUUCAUGAAGCUUAGAGAGGAAGAGAGAAACUCCAUUUUCCUUGCUUUCUAACCUUGGUAAAUCAAGAGCAAAAAUCAAAAGAGUAAGAUCUUGAGUGGGUUGAGAAACUUCCCUUCAUUCCUAGUGGUUGAUCCAAGCUUGAAGCUUCCAUCUUGGUGGAUUGUUUGGUGACCUAAGCAACUUGUAAGAGAGUGGGAAACGAAGGUGGUCGUAACCGAGACACUUGACGUUUAACUACUGCUUGGCUUGACAGAUCAGGGAUGGACUAACGGUUGAGCGCUUUCUUAGCUUUAUUUUGCUUGAACUUGUAACCCUUUUUGUUAAGACGAUUUUACUUUUGACUUUUGUAAGCUUGAAUUCAUAAGUUUGACUUAUGUUAUGUAAUUGUAGUAUUGAGUGGUAAGUGUGACUUUUAGCUUGCCAUUUUAAGUUUG